UACGGAGGAUGCGAGCGUUAUCCGGAUUUAUUGGGUUUAAAGGGUGCGCAGGCGGCGUGUCAAGCAAGCGGUAAAAUAGCGGGGCUCAACCCCGCUCCGCCGUUGAAACUGUGUCCCUUGAGUGCGCGAAGGGUAGGCGGAAUGCGUGGUGUAGCGGUGAAAUGCAUAGAUAUCACGCAGAACUCCGAUCGCGAAGGCAGCAUGCCGGCUCCACACUGACGCUGAGGCACGAAAGCGUGGGUAUCGAACAGG
rnacentral:rRNA from 1 species